UACGUAGGGGGCAAGCGUUGUCCGGAUUUAUUGGGCGUAAAGAGCUCGUAGGCGGUUCGUCGCGUCGGCUGUGAAAUCCCGAGGCUCAACCUCGGGUCUGCAGUCGAUACGGGCGGACUGGAGUUCGGCAGGGGAGACUGGAAUUCCUGGUGUAGCGGUGAAAUGCGCAGAUAUCAGGAGGAACACCGGUGGCGAAGGCGGAUCUCUGGGCCAUUACUGACGCUGAGGAGCGAAAGCGUGGGGAGCGAACAGG
rnacentral:rRNA from 1 species